UACGUAGGGACCGAGCGUUGUCCGGAUUUAUUGGGCGUAAAGAGCUCGUAGGCGGCCGCGCAAGUCGAUUGUGAAAACUCGGGGCUCAACCCCGAGCCUGCGUUCGAUACUGCACGGCUAGAGUCUGGUAGGGGGAUCUGGAAUUCCUGGUGUAGCGGUGGAAUGCGCAGAUAUCAGGAAGAACACCCGUGGCGAAAGCGGCUCUCUGGAACGGUACUGACGCUGAGACGCGAAAGCGUGGGGAGCGAACAGG
rnacentral:rRNA from 1 species